GACGAACGCUGGCGGCGUGCUUAACACAUGCAAGUCGAACGGAAAGGCCCUGCUUUUGUGGGGUGCUCGAGUGGCGAACGGGUGAGUAACACGUGAGUAACCUGCCCUUGACUUUGGGAUAACUUCAGGAAACUGGUGCUAAUACCGGAUAGGAGCUCCUGCUGCAUGGUGGGGGUUGGAAAGUUUCGGCGGUUGGGGAUGGACUCGCGGCUUAUCAGCUUGUUGGUGGGGUAGUGGCUUACCAAGGCUUUGACGGGUGGCCGGCCUGAGAGGGUGACCGGCGACAUUGGGACUGAGAUACGGCCCAGACUCCUACGGGAGGCAGCAGUGGGGAAUAUUGCACAAUGGGCGGAAGCCUGAUGCAGCAACGCCGCGUGCGGGAUGACGGCCUUCGGGUUGUAAACCGCUUUCGCCUGUGACGAAGCGUGAGUGACGGUAAUGGGUAAAGAAGCACCGGCUAACUACGUG
rnacentral:rRNA from 1 species